GACGAACGCUGGCGGCGUGCUUAACACAUGCAAGUCGAACGGAAAGGCCCUGCUUUUGUGGGGUGCUCGAGUGGCGAACGGGUGAGUAACACGUGAGUAACCUGCCCUUGACUUUGGGAUAACUUCAGGAAACUGGGGCUAAUACCGGAUAGGAGCUCCUGCUGCAUGGUGGGGGUUGGAAAGUUUCGGCGGUUGGGGAUGGACUCGCGGCUUAUCAGCUUGUUGGUGGGGUAGUGGCUUACCAAGGCUUUGACGGGUAGCCGGCCUGAGAGGGUGACCGGCCACAUUGGGACUGAGAUACGGCCCAGACUCCUACGAGAGGCAGCAGUGGGGAAUAUUGCACAAUGGGCGGAAGCCUGAUGCAGCAACGCCGCGUGCGGGAUGACGGCCUUCGGGUUGUAAACCGCUUUCGCCUGUGACGAAGCGUGAGUGACGGUAAUGGGUAAAGAAGCACCGGCUAACUACG
rnacentral:rRNA from 1 species